rfam:Neisseria elongata subsp. glycolytica ATCC 29315, complete genome.
GGAGUUUGCCCGGUUCAGGCUAGGCAAACUUGUCUGCCGCAAGGCUUUAUUUUUUGGAGUUUUUCAAUUAUGGCACUGUCCGUAGAACAAAAAGCACAAAUCGUUAAAGAUUUCCAACGCAAAGAA